GGUGAACUCCUCUACCUUAAGCAGAAUGAUGUGGCUGUUGUUCAGAACUGCUGAGAAAAGAAUUCCCACUUUGACCUGGACAUGAGAUGACUGCACAGGUGUCUCCCAAGCCUAAAGUCCCAGAACUAAAUUCAGCAUUCAGUUACCAUAAAAACCUUAUGUCAGGUGUUGCUUGGUUUUGUUUAGUCUAUAUUCAUUUUUCACUGAACAUCCUGUCACUGUGCCAAGGACUAUUCCAAGCAUGUACAGUCCAGUUGUGAACAAGAUAGGCAAGGUCCCUAUCCAGAACUCACACUAGUGGGGCAAACAAUAAUCAAGACAAUAAACACUGAAGUAAGAUUAUAGAAUCUAUAGGUCUAUAGAUUCUAUAGACCUAUUCUAUAGACCUAUUCUAUAGGUCUAUAGAUUCUGUAGACCUAUUCUAUAGGUCUAUAGAUUCUGUAGACCUAUUCUAUAGGUCUAUAGAUUCUGUAGACCUAUUCUAUAGGUCUGUAGAUUCUGUAGACCUAUUCUAUAGGUCUGUAGAUUCUGUAGACCUAUUCUAUAGGUCUGUAGAUUCUGUAGACCUAUUCUAUAGGUCUGUAGAUUCUGUAGACCUAUUCUAUAGGUCUGUAGAUUCUGUAGACCUAUUCUAUAGGUCUAUAGAAUAGACUUUGCAUAUUCUAUAAAAAAUGUAGAAGAGGUGCUCAGGAAGACCUAUCUGAGGAGGUGCUGUUUGAGCUGAGACCUAAAGACAGGAUGGAAUCAGUAUGGGAAAAUCUGGGAGAAGAACCUUAUAGGCAGAAGUAACCACUCAGGCGGAAGCCCUAAGAUUAAGAUAGGCAUGAACUUGUGUAAUUGGAGUAGAAUAAGCUCUGGGGAAGGUGUAGAGAUGGACAGGGCUUGAUCAUGCUGGGUCUUUUAGUCCUUAGUAAAUCCUUGCUAAGAAGGUAUGUUACCCUCUUUUUACUUAUGAGAAAGAUAACGUUUGGAAGGGCUAAGUGGCAUGCCCAAGAUCAAGUCAAGAAUAAAACUUAGGUCUUCUGACACCUGCUUCCCAAGCCAAGGUUUUUCUGUUUGCCAUUCACUCUCUGAAUUUCCUAACUAUUAACCCAAGUUAUUUUUGGAUGUAAGAUAUAAAAUUAGUGUAUAAAUUUGAAAGUCAAUGAUGUAUCAUCUCUAGGUGUUAAUUUUAGAGGCUUUUUAGUAGAUGUUAAAACGUCCACUUCUUGGCUGACAGUUAUGACAACAUAACUUGUUAUUUGGUCUACCCUUUGGGUGUCCUUAUUUACCAAAAACUUAUAAUUUAAUAAUUGAAUCCCUGGAUUAAAUGUAUGGUUGUGCUAGCAGGGGUGGUCUAUUUCUUGAUUUAUAAGACACGUUUCUUUUUUAUAGCUAUUUUACAGUAUUUGAUGUGUUCGAAAAUCGUAGUCUCUUGGUUGGCAUAUUGCACAAGCAAAUAUUUGUGUACCAUAGCAUCUAGGGUAUUUACUUAAAUUGCUUUUUUGGAAAAUAAUUCACUGGAAAGUCCAAAAGGCAUUUACCGCGUAUAACUUUCUGCCACAGUUUUUUUUUCUUUGCUCUGUCAUUGGUUACUUUGAUGUAGGGGACCAUGUUUCUGUUAAAUUGCUGUCUUACUAGAGUGAAAUAUGUUUAGGUUCUGAUUUGUACACUAACGUUGAAUUGGAGGAGCAGUUUGCAAAAUUUGAGGGGGAAUAGCAGUAGAGAUUUAGGUUGUGGGUAUUAAGCAUUAAAUUUUUUUAAAAAAACAUUAAUUUGCUUUUUAAAUGUGACUUUAUAUCAUGUUGUCUUCUUGACCCUAAAAUUUCCUUACUUUUCCUUGUCAGUAUGGCAAAAAGAAAGAGAGAGUACAGUGGUAUUGCUGAAAGCAGUUAAUGGUUUUUGUCUUGUGAAUUUAAAUAAUAAAAUGAAAAAUGUUCACACAAAAUUAGAACUUGCUUUAGGGCACAAUCAAUAUAGCAUUUUAACAAGCUUAAUGUAUUUGGAAGAUAUGUAUUGUGUGAGGUUCUCAAACAUACUGAUUCUAUUACGACGGUUAACUGUAGCAGCAAAAUGUAUCAAUAUACUUAGCCAAUAAACAUAAAACUUAUUAAAUCAUAAUUAAAUUUUCAGAAAAGUUAUCUAAAAAUUAUGAAUAAAAUAUAUUUUACAUGGCCUCAGCAACAAAAUAUAUAGCCAAUGAAACUUUAUAAGUGGUGGGGUAAAAUACAUGGGAUAAAAUUAUAGAAUGAAUUUUUACCAUAGACACAUGUACCGAGUUAAGUUUGUGUACACCAUUUGUUUCUCCUCUCUUUUAACUUCUUUUGGAGGUAAUUCUUAGUGAGUAUUUGCAGAGCACAACAGCUGGGGUAACUGACCGAAGGGGCAAAUGAGAAGUUUCCCUGCUCCUUUGGAGUCUCAAGUGAAAUGUUUCAAAGCCCUACCUGCCCUUAUACGUGGAAGAUGCCAAGAGGUACUCAGAGUCACUGUGGUUGCAUUUACAUUUCUACAGUGGGCGCCAAUCACAAGCUUCAUGUUAUGGCCCCAGCUGUGUGGGAAUGUAGCUGAGCACACUAGGUAUCGUCAUCCUCAUUUGAUUUAUGAAGAAAUGGAAACACAGAUAAAUGAAUGGAUUUCCCUGAGGAUUCAGACCAAGUCAAGGAUAAGAUCACCACUGAAACCCAGGCUUUUUUAAUUCUUAGUCCUUUCCCAAUGCCAUUCCUGGUAAAUAAUUACAUUUUGGCUCUAAGAGGAGCUAGAAUAAACAGAAUAUAUGCAAACCUAAGAAUUUCUGCCAGCAAUCUCUAGCAGAUAUACUUCAGCUGUACUUUGAAUUUUUAUUUUGUGCACCAGGCACAUGUAUCUUGUAGAUGACCAAUAUGAACAAACAGCUGUCUCCCUUCCUCCCUCCUUCCUUGGAACGUGUAAUCUCUGAAUAACUGAUUAGCUCAAUGUCAGAAAUGUUUGUGCUGAUCUCUGAACCUCAGUCAGUUCAACACAUGACUCCCUGGAAAUUUUAUCUUUGGUUUUCUUUUUUUUUUUUUUUUUUCACUGCCAUGAUUUUGUGAGUUAGUUUAUGAGUGUAUUUAAAUCAUUUCUGGAAUCUAAAUAUUUUGGACUUGCUGGUCUUUAUAAGGAAGUUAGUUUCCCUCCUCUCACAUAGACCUCUUUCUGCUUUCUCCUAUCUAUCAUAUUUUAAGAGUAUAUGUGACACCGUUAAGUUUUAAUCUUCUAAAUGGAUUGGAGAAUAACACCUUCCCUUGACUAACCUCAAAGGAUUUUUAAAAACAGAAUGUUGCCUAAUUUUUGAGGGAGAAUGUUCUAACACAGUUUAUAUAUUUUUGUAACUCAACAAAGGUAUCUCAUAAAGAACAUUGGUGGAAUUGGGUUUUAAAGUCCAAAUACUUUCCUUCUGUUGUCCAGAACAUAGCUCCUCAACCUAGAGGCAUAGUGUCAUGUGCAGUGAAGUCACUCAAAUUCCUUCUUAUUAUUGGUUUGAAGAUGACUGUCCCUGGAUGGUAUAAGAUAUGAUGGUAGUUUGUGUCGUUCAGUUUUUACGUUAAAGGAAAAAGUCUCUCCUGGUUUCUUUUGACCCUAGUCAUGAUAUGCCCAUUUCAUGAAGUCUUUUAUGCACAAAAGUGCACAAAAUGAAGAUAAAGUGCCUCUCUCCAGCCUGACAAAAGCCAUUUCUUUGCAGAAUGGUAGCUGCAGCGAAAGUAAAUAAAUGAAUGGACAGCAAUCACAGCCUAGUUGAUGAAACUGUUCAAUUAAAGCACAGGCAUUUACAUGGUGUAAUUUCCCUAAAUUGCCAAUGAGCCCCUUUAGACACAACCAGUGUUCAAAUUGAUUUCAGCAUUGAUUUUGGCUGAAGCUGAUAAAUUUCUGCUUGUUAGUUAAAGUAAUUUUGCAGAAGACUUUGUACUGCAGUAUUGAAGUGUUCAUUUAGCUGAUAGUUAAAAGAGGAGUUAUUUACAGAGGCCUCUACUGUUGUUCUGAGAUGGGACAAUUCCCCAAUCAUCUUUUACUUUUAAUUUUUCAGGCUUCAGUAUACCAAUCAAUAGGUGAUUGAAACUGAUUAAAACUUAUCCAACCAGCUGCCUAUGGCAGUUUAAUUAGAAGCUGGAUGAUUCUUAAAUUAAAGUUGUCUUAUUUUCAUUGCAAAGCCAUCUUCCAGAAGAGUAAGGCAAGAACAGUGCAGAAAACUUAAAAGACUGGCUUUGCUAAGGUAUCUUGCAAAUGUUAAAUCACUCAAUAGCUAUUCCUAAGACAAUUCAAAAAUGUAUCAGAGAGUUUGCUUUUAUGGAGAUUAGAAGUAAUAACAUGCUUACUUGCCAGCCAAGGAAUGUUUGUUUCAUUCGGUCAGAGAGAUUACCUAUUGUAUAAUGAUACAUGUGAAAGACCAGCUGUUUGGGAUAUAUCUAUUAUCUCAUAAGCAAGAUGAAUGCUUGAGCUUAGUUUUAAACACUGUAAUGCAGGAUGAAACUAGCCAUGAUGAUAUCCUCUGCAUCUGCCCCCUGGAAACCAUCAGCUUUGAAUUUAUAUUUUUAUUCUGUUUUGAGGUCUUGAUUAAAAUAAAUCUCCAUUGAAUGAAAAACAAAUAUUUUUAUAUAAGUUCAUGUUGACUUGUCAACAGUAUUGUGGGCAGGAUUAUAGAAGAGAGAUUUUUGCUCCUCUUCAGCUCCCUAGGGAAGCUUCUCCAUACUCAUUUUAUCUAGUGUGGACAAUUUCUUGAGUUUUUAAUGGAAACGGGUUAAUAUUUUUGUCAUAGGGGACAUAUUACAUCUGAUAUUACGGGGAAGAAGGGAAGAAAUGGCUCACUUUUCAGAGGUGCAUUUACUCUUUGACCCACUAGGGUACUAUUUAGUGUUCUAGAAGAGGUAAUUUAGUAAAUUGUACCCCAGUGGCCUGAAAAAGUUAAUGCAACUCUGAAAAGUGAGCCAUUCAAUCGAUUUUCCCUAUUGCUUUUAAAAAAUCAACACUGACCAUAUCCAGAGAAUGUUGAAGACAACUGAAAUUAGAGGAUCUAGAAGCAACCAGUUUAUUUUCACACAAAGCUUGUUGGGACAUGCACUGGAUUUGGCUUCAGAGGACCCAGAUCUACUUCCCACUCCAGUACUUACAGAUAGGAAUCGUGAAGCAUUCAGUAACCUCACCAAGCCUUGGUUUCCUUGUCUAUAAAGUGGUGAUAAUAAUAAUAUUUACCUCACAAAUUUUUGUGGAAAUCAAAUAGCUUUACUAUAUGUAAAAUGUUUUAUAAACUAUAAAGCACAAUAGAAUAUUAAUUAUUAGAAUAAGGAGGUUUUCUGAAGUAGCCAUUUAUGUAUCUGAUUUUGGAAAGUAAUUUAUUGUUAGUUUUCCCAGAAACUGUGAGCAAAGAUUAGAUGGUUAUCACGUUGUUUCAAGAGAGAGUUUCCUAGCUAGUCAAUCCUCAGGGUAUUUCUAUUUUCCCCCACAUAUAUUGCCUAACAAUUCCAGUUCUUUCAUUCCUUCUCAUCAUUAGGCUUUAUAUCUCUUGCUUCUCUGUUUGCCCACUACAUUAUUUCAGAAUCCUUGAUCAAGAGAUCAGAAUGACUGUAGUUUCCUUGAUCUCAGAGGUAUUUAGACCAUAUAUUAAAAGACAUUACUCUAGUUGAUGUGGAGAGUGUUAAAAGCUUGAAUCAGGCCACAUCAACUUGUGGAAGAAAUAUGGAGGUAGUGAUGACCACAUUAACUCUGAGGCAGGUAUGGGAGUAAAAAGGGGUAUAUAGCCGGAGUAAACAGAAAGAAGAAAUGGCAAAUGUAGAGUUACAGUAGCUUUCUCUUAUUGAAAAUCUUUCUAAUCUAGCCAAGUUCCCUAUAUCAUUCAUUAGGUUGAUUUAUGAGCCCUAUGUACAAUCAGUUAUCUUGAAAUUAAUAUCUGUGACCUCAUAACAUAUUUGACUUGAGACCUAAACAGUAUGAGGGGCUCUGUUUUUUUUUCUUUCUUUCUUUCUGAGACAGAGUUUUGCUCUUGUUGCCCAGGCUGGAGUGCAAUGGUGUGAUCUUGGCUCACUGUAACCUCUGCCUGCCUGGUUCAAGUGAUUCUCCUGCCUCAGCCUCCUGAGUACCUGGGAUUACAGGCACGUGCCACCACGCCCUGCUAAUUUUUGUAUUUUUAGUAGAAACAGGGUUUCACCAUGUUGGCCAGGCUAAUCUCGAACUCCUGACCUCAGGUAAUCUGCCCGCAUCGGCCUCCCAAAGUGCUGGAAUUAUAGGUGUGAGCCACUGUGCCCGGCCUGUUUCUUAACCACAAAUUAUUUUGUAAUCAGUAGUCAAGCAUCUGUAAUAGGUUUUUAGGCAGAAAGAAGGUUGGCAAAGACUGCUAUUUGAACUAGUAUAGUUUACAUAAAAGCUUCUUUUUACAACUGCUGUUUACUUUGGAUUUCCUGUUUUAACAGCUAGAGCCUGGCUAAUGUGUUUAUCUAUUAUGGAAGGCAACAACUGUCAGUGUUGAUUUCCCUGAAACUAUUUGAAGUAUUUCUGUGGAUGGCUACUUUAGUAUGUGACAGAAUACUAAAAUUUCGAAGCUUGGCCAUUAGUCCUAAACGUGUUAAUAAAAUCUACCUUCAAAUAAACCUAAAAAGACCAAGAAAUUAGAGGAUUAAAUUUUAAUUUAAAAAUUUAAAUUUAUUUAAUUUAAAAUUUAAAAAUUAUAUUUUUCAUUAGCUGAACCACAGCUGGUUUACAUUUAGUUACUGAAACCAUAUCAUUGCAUUAAAAGGUGACAUCUAGAGGGUUUUAAAAUUAAUCUCGCAAGGUACUAAAAGAUUUUUGUUUGUGUCAGUAUUUGUGUACUCAUGAGCUUUAUACAGCAGAGAAGCGUUCUGCAUGUUUUGUAUUGGCUUCAGAGUUGUUCAGCCUUAUAAUCUUUUGGGAAAAUGUAAUACAAUCAACUCUCAGAUUCCUUGUUUUAAGUAGGAGACUUAUAGUCUCAUGUGGGUAUCUCCUAAUAGUUUAACCCCCUCGAUUUCUACCAUCUUCUUUCUUUUUGUUUUAGUUUUCCUUUGUGCCAAUGCUAUAAAGUCUUUGAAAUGGAAACUUCUAAGUUGAGGAAAGACUUGUAUCUUGUUAUUCUAAAUUUACAUAAAAGCAGGGGCUUUUUUGGUUAAUAAAUAAAAUGUCACACAGAGCAAAGAAGCAUCAUCUGUAAGAAUAGAAGCAUCAUCUGUAAGUAUAGAAACUGAUGAUCCUACAGUAUAUUAGCUUUAACCAAUGCCAUGUUUUAAUAAGGAAGUAGAUUUAAUAAUUGAACCUGAGUGAGACCAACUCUUAACUUUCUGUGCCAAUGAGGAGAAUUAAGAAUUGCGUUUUAGACAAUGAUUUAUUUGUCUUGUCUCGAUCAAACUUUUUCAUAAUGAAUCAGAUCUCAGAGAGCUUUCUUUUCCUUUGUCUUUUUACCUCUGCCAUGUCUCUGAUGGACGUCCUAUAAAUCCCUAGGGCAUUCAGAGAAUAGAGAAUCAGGGAAUACAGGAUAUCUCACAAGCUGUGAAAUCUUUGCAUGGAAAACAAAGAACUGAUGUUAUUAUUUGAGAGAGUGAACUAUCUCUGCAAUGAGCUAAUAACAAAUACAUUUGUAACUUUUAUUUAUUUUAAAAUAGCCUUUGUUCACCGUUUUUCUUGUCUUCUACCUGUUCUCUGAGAGACAUAGGGAGCAAAAUAACCAUCACUUUCUUUCUUGCUUACCUAGAAUAAGACCAUCUCUUUUUAAUUACUGGUUAUUUCUUGAGCCAAAUCCUAACCAUUGCUUUCACUAUUUUAGUGACUGGAUUAUUUUCUUAGGUUUCCUAUCCAUUUGGAGAACCUUUCAACAAUUGAUAACACUCUAUAAAUAAUUCACAGAGUAAUUGUGUCCCUCUUUUCACUAACCUUCUUUGAAGUACGUUAUGUGAGAAGUAGAAUUUAAGUCAGUAGCAUUUAGUUCAUGUGGUUAAUGAAGGAAGUGCCCUGUGUCCUUCAUAGAACAGUGGCAAUACUAUCAUUUCAGUGUCCCUGUGUUGCCAUUAUGAAUAAAAGUCAUUAUACAUGCAAUUACGCUCCAGGUCUUUUCUCCAAGAGGCAAAAAAGGGGUAUUUCCGUGCUCAUUUUGAUAACUAUUUUGCUAAUAAAUUGACAUUUAUGACAUAGGAUAUUGUCAGUUAUGCUGAAAUCUGAAAUAUUUAUAGUAAGAUUAUAGGCCAGCCUCCCCCAUUCUUUCUUUAAUUAUAUCCUACCUCACAAUCACUAGGAAAGCACAUAUGCUCCCUAUUAUAAAUUCUUUCUGCUCAUAAUUUAAAAUAAUUUGAUUGGAAUAUGUUUAGAACUUAAUAUGCAGAAUAGUACCAUAGAAAAUAGAUGCCUACUUUAAUUGUAUGAGAUUGUACCAGCUUUAUCAGAAAAUGUAUGAUCAGCUCUAGGUUAUUUAUUUUGUGAACAAGAGUCAGCUGGGAUGAUUCAUAUUUUUUGGUUCUCCUAGAAUUUGAAAUUCUAGGCAUAAAUAAUUUUAGUAAACAUGGUAAAAUCCAGAUGCAGUUGAUCUUAUGCAUGGCAUAAAUUUGUGUGGGAGUCCAGAUGUUGGAAUGUGAACACAGGUUGUUUCUCCCUUCUGUCUUGUGUGGACUUUUUAACAUGUUAUUUUCACAUAUUUAUUUUCCUUACUUUUAUUUAUUUUUUGAUACAGGGCCUCACUCUGUCACCUAGGCUGGAGUGCAGUGAUACGAUCAUGGCUUACUGUAGCAUCAACCUCCCAGGCUCAAGUGAUCCUCUCACCUCACGUCCCAAGUAGCUGGGACCACAGGCAUGUGCCACCAUGCCCAGCUAAUUUUUUUAAAUUUUUUGUUGAGAUGAGGUAUCAUCUAUGUUGCCCAGGCUGGUCUUGAACUCUUGGACUCAAGCAAUCCUCCCACCUCAGCCUCCCAAAGUGUUGGGAUUACAGGUGUGAGCCACUGUGCCCUGCCUAUUUUCCUUACCUUUAAAGAUUAUUCUAGAAAUUCAGUUUAUUCUUUGUAAUGAUGUAUCUUUUAAUAAAUUCGCAUUAACAGUUUAGAUGAAGGUGAGCACACCUCUAACCUUUUAUGUAUUGUACUAGACUCAUCUUUAACAUUUCAAGGAGUAAAUAAUAUAAUCAGUUGGAUUUAUCCCUAAGUAUUGCUUUUGAAAUCAGUCACAUGUUUUCUGAACACUUUGUGCAAAGUACUUCGCUUGGCAGUGGGGGAGAUAUAACAUCAACUUUCAUGGCCUCAGGGACCCCAUUCUUUGGGGUCUGUUGUUAGCUUACUGUUUGUACCUUCUCGUCUCCUUUACUGUUUUCUUCUCAUCUUUCUGACCUCUGAAUUUAGAGAGCCUCAGUUCCAGUCCUUACACCUCUUCUCUGUUUAAUUCACUUCCUAAGUGAGCGUGUGUAGUUCCAUGGCUUUACAUAUCAUCUGUAUGCUGAGGAAGUCCAGAUGUAUGUCUGUAGCCCUGGCCUGUGUCCUGAACUUCAGACUCAUAUCUGAUUACCAGUUGGAUGUCCUCUAGGCAUUUCAAAAUUAUCUAAAACCGAGCUCUUUAUUUCUUUGGAAACCUGCUUCAUUUACAGCUUCUCCCAUCUCCGUAAUUGGAAACUCUAUUCUAUAGGAUGCUAAGGACAAAAACUUUGCAGUCUUUCUUCCUCCUUCUUUUUCUCUCAGAUUAUGUAUACCUUUACCCACAAAUCUUGUGGGUUCUUCCUCAAAAAUAUUUCAAGAAGCUGACCACCUUUCAUCACUGUUUUCUUGCUACCCUAUUCAAAACCACUAUUACUGCUUGCUAGGAUUUUACUGCAAAAGCCUCCCAACUAGCCUCCCAGUUUCUAUCCUUGCUUUCCUGUAAUGUGUUCUCUUCACUCAGCAGCCAAAGUGAUCUUUCUGAAAUAUUAGGUCUCCCCCUCUGCUCAUGACCUCUUAUAUCACUUGGAAUAAAAGUCAGAGUCCUCACCAUGGCCUAAAUGGUGCUACACAGUCUGUUUUCCUUACCUCUCUGACCUCAUCUCCCCCAGCUAGCCCUCUUGCUUAUUCUACUUCUGCAUACAUGUCAAGCACACAUUUCCACCUUGGGCUUUUGAACUUGCUGUUUCCUCUACCUGGAAUCCCCUUCCCCUAGAUGUCCGAAUGGUGUGCCCCCAUACUGCUCACAUGUAACCUGAAAAGAGAGGCAUUUCCUGACUUCCUCCCCAACCCUAAUAUCAAAUAGCAUGUCCCUAAUGUUGAUCAGUCUCUAUAUCCUUACCUUUAUUUUUUUCAAUGCACUUACCCCCACCUCACAUAUUGUAUAUUUAUUUGAUUAUUGUCAGUCAGCCCCUAUUAGAAGGUAAACUUCACAAGGGCAGGGACUUGGUCUCAUUUGUUCUCUGCUGUAUCCACACUGCCUAGCUUAUUGCCUGGCAAUCAGAGACAUGCAUUAAGUAUUAAAUAUAAAAAGAGGAUCUAGGAGGAGAAUAUAUCAUAUACUGUGGAAGAGGUCAAGCAUAUAGUAAUGAACAAAAUGGACCCUGACCUUCCCCUUGAAACUUACAAUAAAGUAGAACAUAACAUAGACCCUAUAUUAAGAAUUUACAGCAUAGUUAGGUAAUUAGAGUCUACAAUAUAGUUAAAUAAAGUGAACACCAUUUCUGUAAUCCCAGCACUUUGGGAGGCCAAGGCAGGAGGAUCACUUGAGGCCAGGAGUUCAAGACCAGCCUGGGCAACAUAGUGAGAACCUUGUUCUACAAAAAAUAAAAAUAAAAAUUAGCCAGCCAUGGCGGUACUCUCCUGUAGUCUCAACUACUCAGGAGGCUGAGGCAGGAGGAUCAUUUGAGGCCAGGAGUUCAAGACCAGCCUGGGCAACAUAGUGAGACCUCCGUUCUGCAAAAAAUAAAAGUAAAAUUUAGCUAGGCAUGGUGGUUCGCUCCUGUAGACUCAACUACUCAGGAAGCUGAAGCAGGAGGAUCACUUGAGCCCAAGAGUUCAAGUCUGCAUCGAGCUAUGAUUGUCACACUGUACUCCAGCCUGAGUGAUAGAGUAAGACCCUGUUGCUUAAAAAAAAUAUACUAGUAGGCCAUGUGCAGCGGCUAACGCCUGUAAUCCCGCACUUUGGGAGGUUGAGGCGGGUAGAUCACCUGAGGUCAGGAGUUCGAGACCAGCUUGACCAACAUGGUCAAAUGCCAUCUCUACUAAAAAUACAAAAAUUAGCCAGGUGUGAUGGUGGGCACCUGUAGACCCAGCUAUUCGGGAGGCUGAGGCAGGAGAAUCGCUUGAACCUGGGAGGCAGAGGUUUCAUUGAGCCGAGACUGCACCACUGCACUCUAGCCUGGGUGACAGAGCGAGACUCUGUCUCAGAACAGAAACAAAAACAAAAAACCACUACUGAUAAAGUAUAUACCUGUGAAUUUAAAUAACUGUUGAAGAGAAAUAGUAAUUUAUAACACGAACAUAUAAGGCAAUAGAGUAGUUGAUGCCAAUAGAUAAAUGAAACCACAGGGUAGGAAAUCUAGUAGGUAGGGAAGUAAGUAGAAAUAAAAGAAUGGAAUCCAAUUGAAUUCAGGAAGGAAUAACAUGAAAGAAGAAAUGGUGACCAUUUAAGUAAAUCUGACUGUAUAAGACAACGAUAGUAAUAAUUCAAAAUGAAGUUAAAAAGACUGGAGAAAAUAAUAUGUUAAGAUGAGAAGGGCUUGAUUGAAGUUAAAACAUUCUAAGAUUUUUAUAUUGUUUAGGAGAAGGAUAUAGAUAACAAUUAACUUUAUGUUUUGUUAAGUCAGGUAUGAUUGUUAAAAAUUAUACGGGUAACUAAAACAGUGAAUAGAAUGUGUAACUUCAAAACAAAUAGAUGGAAUAAAGGGAGAAUAAUUCAGUAUAAUAGAGGAAGAGAAGUCGAUAGGUGUAAAGUAAAUGAAUUAGGUGGUAGAAAUAAAUCCAAAUAUAUCAAUAAUUACAAAAAAUAUAAGUAGAGUAAUAUUAGCAGCUAAUAGGUUAGGUUGCAUUUUUUAAAAUACAGUUAUGUGCUAUUUUAGACUGUAUUGGGAGAAAAUUUAAAAUACCAAGACACAGCAAAAUUGAAAGGAAAAGGGUAGGGGAAGAUACCUGGCAAAAACUAAUCAAAAGAAUGCUGCUACUGUGGUUAUAUUAACAUAAGACAAAAUAGACUUUAAGGCAAAAAGUAUUACUAGAGAAAUGUUAUGAAAAUACAAAUAUUUACAACUGAACCACAAAUACCAUGUAUUAAUAUGAAAACUCCUGAGAUGCACCAAAGUAAUUCUUAAAGGAUAGGUUUAUAUACACACCUUAGUAAAGAAUAACUGGGUAUGAUAUGCUUAGAAUCUAACUCAAGAAAAUCAAGAAGGUGGGACAGGGAAUAAACCCAAAGAAAGUGGAAGGAAAGAAAUACUAAUGAACAAAA